GCUGCAACUCGCCUGCAUGAAGUUGGAAUUGCUAGUAAUCGCGGAUCAGCAUGCCGCGGUGAAUACGUUCCCGGGCCUUGUACACACCGCCCGUCACACCAUGGGAGCCGGUAAUACCCGAAGUCAGUAGCCUAACCGCAAGGGGGCGCUGCCGAAGGUAGGAUUGGCGACUGGGGUGAAGUCGUAACAAGGUAAC
rnacentral:rRNA from 1 species